rnacentral:rRNA from 1 species
AUUGAACGCUGGCGGCAUGCUUUACACAUGCAAGUCGAACGGUAACAGGCCUUAGGGUGCUGACGAGUGGCGAACGGGUGAGUAAUGCAUCGGAACGUACCCAGAGGUGGGGGAUAACGCAGCGAAAGCUGUGCUAAUACCGCAUGUGAUCUGAGGAUGACAGCGGGGGACCGAGCAGCAAUGUUUGGCCUCGCGCCUUUGGAGCGGCCGAUGUCGGAUUAGCUAGUUGGUGGGGUAAAGGCCUACCAAGGCGACGAUCCGUAGCUGGUCUGAGAGGACGACCAGCCACACUGGGACUGAGACACGGCCCAGACUCCUACGGGAGGCAGCAGUGGGGAAUUUUGGACAAUGGGGGCAAGCCUGAUCCAGCAAUGCCGCGUGCGGGAAGAAGGCCUUCGGGUUGUAAACCGCUUUUGGCAGGAACGAAACGGUGUCCGCUAAUACCGGGCGCUAAUGACGGUACCUGCAGAAUAAGCACCGGCUAACUACGUG